GUAACUGGGGGUUCAAGGGUCAGGACGGAAGAGAAUGGCUCAGUUAGCUUGAAUCUAGGUGUUGGUAUUGGUUAUGGUAUGGAGAAUAGGCGCAAUGGACAACUGCACACACUGCCUGCAGAAACUGCACAUAGCCAAGUUCAGGUUUCAAGUUCUAGUAUGAUGUUAGUACAGCCAGCUACAGUUGCAGCAUGCUACAACAUUGUAAAUGGUGGAAUGAGCCGGUUUGGAACUAUGGAAAAUCGUGUUCAGGGCACUGGCUUUGAGACUCUGCCCUUGCAAUCAUCUGCUCAAUGUCCUCAAAACUAUGGAAGGAUACUUUUGGGCCCGUGAAUGUUUCUUCCCUCAGGCAAAAACUUAAAAAUAAGAAGCUUCCAUCCGUUUUCUUUUUCAGCUUCUCGGUGGGAUUACAGAGGGCUGCAUCUCUUGUUGGCGUAACCUCGCUU
rnacentral:misc_RNA from 1 species